GGCAGGGAUGUGUCUCCCUCCCUGCCAGCUGCAGCAUUCCCACAGUGUGCCCAGUGCAGUGCUGGCAGAGCUCAGCAUGAAGAAUGUCACUGUGGAAAAUGUCUCUGUGACGAGUGGAUGGCAGUCAGGUUUCAGCACAAAGAUAAGGACUCAUGCAUAGACCCUGGAUUUUCUUCUUUCCAGUCCUUUCCCUUCCAGGACAAGGCUGGAGUGUGCAGCUGGAAAUUUUCUCUUCAGCUGACUCUUCAAAGGAAGGUAUUCCCCAUUGGCCAUGUCUCAACAGCAUGGAGCACCACUCUGAGUAGAUAACAGGAGCUUUGGGUGUCCAUCUCAGCACAUGCAAGGGCCUGUGGUCUGUGCAGGAGCGCUCAGUACCAGACAUCACCCACAGGCUGAGCUGGAAGAGGCUGAACAGGAAGGGUCUGGAACACCUCAGAUUGGCCAUGGCAUUGCAUCUGCACAGGAAAACAUCUGUAUCAGCAGAACCAACAGAACUGGACGAAAUCCUAAUUUACCAUGGUCUGUAAAAGAGGCUGAAGUGCCUAUUUCCAGUGAGGCGAAUUUGAAAUUGAAAGAGGAAAACGAGUGCAUUGAAGAGAUCAGAAGCUCCUUUCCAAGCAUGUAUCUGGUGCAGAUGGUGCAAACAAAGUGCCAAGUGAUCUGCCCCCACUUUUCUGCACAGCAAGCAAGAAGACAUCACUGUAUCCAACAGGUGGAGGGAGGUGGGCACCUCCACCAGCAGGCAGCAGCCCCAGCUCAUUCACCCUGCACCAAAGGCAUCUCAGCAAGCCAAGCAGCUGCACCCUGCUUCACCCAUGGGAAGAACAGAGCACCAGAGCAGGCUGGGGGAAUGUGGGCAAGGAUGGAGGAUUUUUCUGUGGGCGGAAGGGAGAGGAAGUCUUGGGAAAAGUCUCCACAUUCCCUGGGACUGUGGAAACCACUGGCAACAGGGCAAACAUCAGGGUUGCUUCUAGGUCAGCAAAACUAGAAGUUCAGUGUAUGCUUCUGCAUCACAGCUUGCUGGAAAUUCUUGGAAUUUAGGUGGAGGAUGGAUGUGAUGGCAAUGAUAAAAACUGGGCUUUUCAACCCAUUUUCACACUCGGGGCCUGUGAGGUGGGCUUGGCUUGUUAGGUAGGUGAAGAGAUCACAGUGAUGGUACCAGGAGAGGAGGCAGAAAUCAAGGCAGAGAGUGAUGUCUGUGAUCAGUCACAUGACAAUCAAAACAGAAAAUAAAGCCCAACACCCAGCACUUGGCUUUUGCUCC
rnacentral:lncRNA from 1 species